AUGCCUAGUACACUCCUCGUGCAGCAACCAUACACUACUCGGACAUCUGUCAGGCAAUGGCCAGACCCUCCGCUGUUCUCCGUCUGCGCACGCGCGCAGUGCUCCCUGCUGCAGCAACGACCACGGCGGCUCCCUCCUGCCCGCUUAUCUACUGCGGCUCCUGCCCGAGCACCGACGCUGGCUGGCCGGGUUGCCGCGGCCAGCGCCGGGUCCAGCUCCUCCAACGUCUCAUCCGGCCGCCGCCUCCUACGCGCCCGGUCAGGGCCGGCUCCGAGCUUGACCGCGCUCCCCGCCCGCAUCCCCCAGUGCCGCUGGCUAUGCUCGGCGCCCCGCCCCGCUUGCUGCUUGGCGCACGGAUCGGCUGCGCCUCACCCCUUCUCCGCCUCGCCGACCCGGCUCCGCCGGUCCCCGCCCCUGCCUCUGCGCCCGCGUGCAUCCGCCCGCGUUGCCACGGCCGGGCUCCGCCUCCGCCCCGUCCGGCGUCCCGCCUACCGGCUAUGGACCGCCGCGACCUAG
rnacentral:rRNA from 1 species